GGUUAAGUUAGAAAGGGCGCACGGUGGAUGCCUUGACACUAGGAGUCGAUGAAGGACGGGACUAACGCCGAUAUGCUUCGGGGAGCUGUAAGUAAGCUUUGAUCCGAAGAUUUCCGAAUGGGGAAACCCACUAUACGUAAUGGUAUGGUAUCCUUACCUGAAUACAUAGGGUAUGGAAGACAGACCCAGGGAACUGAAACAUCUAAGUACCUGGAGGAAGAGAAAGCAAAUGCGAUUUCCUGAGUAGCGGCGAGCGAAACGGAAUCUAGCCCAAACCAAGAGGCUUGCCUCUUGGGGUUGUAGGACAUUCUAUACGGAGUUACAAAGGAACGAGGUAGACGAAGCGACCUGGAAAGGUCCGUCGUAGAGGGUAACAACCCCGUAGUCGAAACUUCGUUCUCUCUUGAAUGUAUCCUGAGUACGGCGGAACACGUGAAAUUCCGUCGGAAUCUGGGAGGACCAUCUCCCAAGGCUAAAUACUCCCUAGUGAUCGAUAGUGAACCAGUACCGUGAGGGAAAGGUGAAAAGCACCCCGGAAGGGGAGUGAAAGAGAUCCUGAAACCGUGUGCCUACAAAUAGUCAGAGCCCGUUAAUGGGUGAUGGCGUGCCUUUUGUAGAAUGAAC
rnacentral:rRNA from 1 species